UGGGAACUCUGACAUGCUCCCCACAGGGGCUCUUUAACACUGUUUCCUAUCGCUCACUGUAUUUCAGGUGUGCAUUUGGCUACAGUGGACUCGACUGUAAGGACAAAUUUCAGCUGAUCCUCACUAUUGUGGGC
rnacentral:sRNA from 1 species